UUUUUUUAAAUUGCAUUUUAGAUAAACAAUCACUUAGCAUUCCAGUGACAUCUAUUGUCUUAAGGGAAGAAAGGAUCUGACUGGGUCUCCAGAAAGCCUGGAACAAAGAAGCAAGAGAUUCUGUGAUUUCUGCUUUCUGAAAUAAAAACAGAAAACAGGCGUUUAACUGGGCUGCCAGUUACCAUCUCAGAAAGGAGUCAAGAAUUAUUCCAGGGCCAUAAGUGUAAUAGCUUUUCAAGACCCUGCAACCUUUGUGACUUUUGUAUGUUUGUCUUUUUGUUUAACCCUAUUUCCACGUGGUGAUUAGAAAUAAAAUCCUUAAAAUAAAAAGUCUCUUCUUCGGCCUUUCUGACAUGGUGCCAGCCCUACUGGAGUCAGCAGGAGUCCAGCACAACAGAUGGUGGUCAGUGGUGACUUCGGCACAGGCAGUUCGUGAGGAGUGGUUGGUGGCCAUGGAGUCCUGACUGGAGUAGGUUAAAAAGAAGGAGGAAAAUCACAAGAAAGAGAGACUGGAGACUUCCUUCUUUUUUUUGGUAGCAGCUUUAUAGAGAUAAAAUUGACAUACUGUAUACUUCAUCCAUUGAAGACGCGCAACUCAUUGGUUUUUGGUGCUUUCACAUAGCUGCCAACAUUUCCUUCUUGACAUUGUGGUUUUCACCUGAAUAGACAGGUCAAACUCCCAACCUCAGUACGACUCUGCUAUUUUCAUCAUGGCAAUUUCCAAACCCGUAAAGGUUAUCUGAAGGCAAAUGUAGAUAUGACUGGGACUUCCCUGGUGCCUCGUUAGCAGCUGAUGACUUGUCUAAGUUCAUCCGGUGGAAACUGCUCCAUGUCUGUUAUAUGGGUGGCUGUUGUGGAACUAAUGAACAAGGAAUUGAGUGAGCAGUUUUAAUACAAUAAAGGAUGGAUGCCUUGCUUGCCAUCACGCCCAUCUAAUUUUUGUAUUUUUAGUAGAGACGGGGUUUCACCAAGUUGGCCAGGCUGGUCUGGAACUCCUGACCUCCACUGAUCCACCUGCCUCGGCCUCCCAAAGUGCUGGGAUUACAGACAGGCGUGAGCCACUACACCUGGCCCAAACUCCUUUUCGUGUGAGAAAAAAAAAUCACUAACUAUUAAAUCACUGCAGUCAGGCUCUCUAUUACCUGCAGCCAAAGGCAUGUCUUAUUGAUACAGAGAAAAAGAAGGUUAGAAAAAGAAGAGUACAUGGCAGUGUGGAGACUGCAUGAAAAAUGGCAUUUAACAAGCAUUUUUGAGGCUUACUCUGUAGCUGACAUUGUGCUAAGUGAAUGAAG
rnacentral:lncRNA from 1 species